UUCUACAUCAUGUGAAACUCACUUUCACAUUUGGAACUUUGAAUUUAGCUUAUUUACUUUGUAAGUAGAGCUCUUCAACCUUGUUCGCCUUUUGGCUUAAUGUUACUGUCAACGAAAUAACGCAAGUUAAAAUGCUGCUCUGAGUUAACAGAAGGUCCUCAGGCUCUGUGGAGCUGGCUUGUCAUCUCAGCCUUGGGAACCCGGAAUCAGGACAGCAAGUCCAGACAUGGGCCUCAUGUUAUAAAAGUACUUCUGAACAUAUGCUGUCGUUUGUCCAUUUGUCAUUCUACUUUAUUAUUAUUAUUAUUAUUAUUAUUAUUAUUUUGUGCUUCUGAAUUAAUUUAAAUUUUAAUUAAAUUUAUUAGCAAAAUUUUUUGAAAAUAAAAAAAAAAUUCUGUUUAUAACUUGGAAGAUAAAACUUCCUAAGGAAAAAAUAGUAAGAGGAUACAUCUAAUACUUAAUGCUAGAAAGACUAUUAAGGAAGCUACAAUUUGGGCUGGCAAGAUGGCUCAGCGGUUAAGAGCAUUGUCUGCUCUUCCGAAGGUCCAGACUUCAAAUCCCAGCAACCACAUGGUGGCUCACAACCACCCAUAAUGAAAUCUGACACCCUCUUCUGGUGCAUCUGAAGACAGCUACAGUGUACUAAUGAAU
rnacentral:lncRNA from 1 species